GGGGAAUUUCCUGAAGCGGGGAAAUCUUUCCAGCGUGCAGACUCGCGCGCGCUGCAGCUGGGUGAAGAAACUCGGCACACGGUCACACAUCAGCAAAAUAAGCAUACAUGAUGAAACAUUUACAAAAAUGAAGGCCGAGCAUGUAACCAACCCAGUACAACAGUACCCAUAGCUAAACUUACUCCGUCUCAAUUAGCCUGUUACCUCCGGCAAUGCCCUGGUCACAAAACGAAGUAUUAAAUGUUUACAUGUGUAAAUCGAGGCUUCUGAAUUUCAAAUCCAGCUUGCUUUUAUAUUCAUGAAAUCUUGGAUGGCAACUGUAGACCAGAAUGUAAAGCUGUCUGUGGAAGAAACACAUCCUGAUCCAAGAUAUGUUCAGCUUCAGGAUGAGGAAGGUCAACAGACGCUUUUACAUCAGGAAAUUCAAGGGACCCUCAGUGUGCUAAGAUUCCCAGCUCUACAAGAGAGUCUUCAAACAGCCGGUCUGCCAUGAUGCUUGAUGAGGAAUGCCUCAUCAACUUGCCUUAGAAGAUGGAUCACUGCCAUCAGCAGAGUAUUCAGACCGUAAUGUGCAGUUAUCCGUGGAAGAAACGGUGCUGUGUUCUCAUCUAAGCUCCGUGCAGCCCUGGGUUCUGAAUGAAGAUGACGGAGGAAUGAUUUUGCACCACAUUCAACCACGCAGUUAGGCCUGUCGAUGUCAC
ensembl:lncRNA